rnacentral:rRNA from 1 species
CUCAGGGGCGAAAGCUAGGGGAGCGAACGGGGUUAGAUACCCCGGUAGUCCUAGCUGUAAACGAUGACCACUAGGUGUGCGGGGUAUCGACCCCCUGCGUGCCGCAGCUAACGCAAUAAGUGGUCCGCCUGGGGAGUACGGUCGCAAGAUUAAAACUCAAAGGAAUUGACGGGGACCCGCACAAGCAGCGGAGCGUGUGGUUUAAUUCGACGCGACGCGCAGAACCUUACCAGGGUUUGACAUGCCGGUGCACCGGCCCGAGAAGGUCGUGCCCGCAAGGGACGCCGGCACAGGUGCUGCAUGGCUGUCGUCAGCUCGUGCCGUGAGGUGUUGGGUUAAGUCCCGCAACGAGCGCAACCCCCAUCGUCGGUUACAUGUAUCCGACGAGACUGCCUCGAUCAACGGGGAGGAAGGUGGGGAUGACGUCAAGUCAGCACGGCCCUUACAUCCUGGGCGACACACACGCUACGAUGGUCGCGGACAAUGGGGAGCCAACCCGCGAGGGGGAGCCAAUCCCAGCAAAGGCGGCCUCAGUUCGGAUUGCAGGCUGCAACCCGCCUGCAUGAAGUCGGAGUUGCUAGUAACCGUGGGUCAGCACACCACGGUGAAUACGUUCCCGGGUCUUGUACACACCGCCCGU